CGUGAGACAGGUUAGUUUUACCCUACUGAUGACCGUCGUCCCAAUGGUAAUUCCGCUUAGUACGAGAGGAACCGCGGAUUCAGAUAAUUGGUUUUUGCGGCUGUCCGACCGGGCAGUGCCGCGAAGCUACCAUCUGCUGGAUAAUAGCUGAACGCCUCUAAGUUAGAAUCCAUGCCAGAACGGGACGAUUUUCUCCAGCACGUCGUACGAGGAUACGAAUAGGCUUCGGCCCCGGACCUUAGCAGGCCAUAACUCCUCUCUCGUAGAAGUCGGGAGAGGUAAUUGGCGGAUAGCAAUUUGACAGCGCGCUGGGAUGAAUCCUUUGCAGACGACUUAGACGUGUAACCGGGUCGUGUAAGCAGUCGAGUAGCUUUGUUGUUACGA
rnacentral:rRNA from 1 species